UCGAGGAUCUUCGGCAAUGGGCGCAAGCCUGACCGAGCGACGCCGCGUGUGCGAUGAAGGCCUUCGGGUUGUAAAGCACUUUAGUGGGGGAGAAAAGCGCAAGCUUGAUCUAUCCCAAGAAUAAGCACGGGCUAAGUUCGUGCCAGCAGCCGCGGUAAGACGAACCGUGCGAACGUUGUUCGGAAUCACUGGGCUUAAAGGGCGCGUAGGCGGCCUGCCAAGUCCGGGGUGAAAGCCUCCAGCUUAACUGGAGAAGUGCCCUGGAUACUGGCGGGCUCGAGGGAGGCAGGGGUCGUGGGAACUUCCGGUGGAGCGGUGAAAUGCGUUGAUAUCGGAAGGAACGCCGGUGGCGAAAGCGCACGACUGGUCCUCUUCUGACGCUGAGGCGCGAAAGCCAGGGGAGCAAACGG
rnacentral:rRNA from 1 species